GCUCACGUAGCUCAGUGGUUAGAGCACCGUUCUUAUGAGGUUGCCUAUUUGCGGAAUACUUCCCGAGAAACAAAUUCCAUGCGGGGGUCCUGAGUUCAAUCCUCAGCGUGAGUA